UAUGUACUCCCUCCGUCCGAAAAUACUUGUUACAGAAAUGCUUAAAAAUGGAUAUAUUCAGAACUAAAAUACGUCUAGAUACAUCCAUUCAUCCGACAAGUAUUUUCGGACGGAGGGAGUAUAUA
rfam:Triticum aestivum genome assembly, contig: Triticum_aestivum_CS42_TGACv1_scaffold_032224_1BL